UUUUGAGCAGAGGAAUGAUAGGCUCUGUUCCCUGAGUUGAGGCCCAGCGGGAGACAAGGGUGUGCAAGUGGGGACACAGAGUCAAGCACGUUAUUGGGAGAAUUUUGAAGUUCAGGGGUCAUGUGACACCCAAGUGCAAGUGUCCAGUAUCUCUGAGCUCCUGAAAGGGCUCCCCAGAGCCACCAGCGUGACCUUUCUCAAGAACUUCUGUCACUGCGUGCCACCCUGCUCAGCUGCUCUCCCGCUGCUCAGCCGUGUGUGUUCUGUCUUCCUCCACCGGUUCUCACCACACACCAUAUGGCUCUUCCUCGCGGACCCGAGCUUGGGCUUCACAGCUGUCUACAGGCCUCACCCAGGCAAGCGGGGUCCUGCAGGUGGCUCACCGGCCCUCCAGCCAGCAGCCCUGCUCUCAGCACACUGUGAGCCCAGCAUUGCUCCCCGGAGACACGUGGCCCGAAGGCCCCCCAGGACCUCCGCUCUGCCACUUCCCUACAGCCCGCCAAGCAUGCGUCGAGGGGGGGGGGGGGGGAUUCCAAAUGCGAUGGGAUCGUGUGCGUCUAAUUCUAGAACAUUGACAGACUUGUAGCGCAGGUACAGAACGACACGUUUUUACCCAUUUUUCCAUCCUCUUGCAGCAUCAGGUGAGGCAGGCCCAGUGCGGAGGAUCUGGUGUGGACUCUGGAGUCACAGGGACACACGUGUGUGUCCCUGCUCUGCAUCUCCUCACGGCAACUUGCAUGCUCCUUAAGUUCUCGAAACCUUAGCGUCUUCAUCUGUGAGCUGAGCUAACGAGGACCUCUCACACAGAGGUAUCAGUUGAUACCAUCUGUCUUUGUUAUCUCUCAAGGCUUAACAAAUCAGCCCAAAAUUUAGUGGCUGAAGACAGCAACCGUGGUUCAUUAGCGCUCACGGGUUUUGUGGGUCAGGAAUUGUGGGUCAGGAAUUUAAGAGCAGGUGUGCCGGCUCAGAGUCUCUCAUGGGGUGGCGGUUGGUUGGUGGUCUGAGCUGGGCUCAUUCCAAAGGCUUCUUCACUCACGUGUCUGGUACCUGGGCUGGGCAGACACACAGCAGGAGCUGGAGCGGCUGGGCCUCCCUCAGCCUCUCCCUCUGUCCCCAGGGGGUGUUGGCCCAGGGCUCUCUGGCAUGACGCCUUCAGAGUCACCGGAAGUCUUACGUCAUAGAUCAAGGCUCCCAAGGCACGUGUCCUGAGAGAAACAGGGGCAGCUGUAUCACCUUGACCAGCCUGGUCCCUUGAAGUCACACAACAUCAUGUCCACUGCCUUCUGUUCCCUAGAAGCAUGUCACCAGAGAUGCCCGGGUGGCUCAGUCAGUGAAGCAUCUGCCUUCAGCUCAGGUCAUGAUCCCAGGGUCCUGGAACCAACUCCCACAUCGGGCUCCCUGCUCAGCGGAGAGUCUGCUUCUCCCUCUCCCUCUGCCUGCCGCUCCCCCUGCUCAUUCUCUCUCUCUCCCUCGCAAAUAAAUAAAAUCUUAAAUUAAAAAAAAAAAAAAAG
rnacentral:lncRNA from 1 species